CAGUAGAUGCCAAAUAAAGAAGACCCAGCUUUUAUGUAUUUAUAACAUAUUAUUUAUCAUAUACUUAUUAUAUUUAUUAUUACAGAUUAUAUUAUUUUACAUUAUAUUUUGGUAUAUUAUGCAUAAAACAAUUAUGUGUAUAUAAAUUAUGAGUAUAUAAAUUAUAAAUUAUGAAUUAAAUAUAUUUAAAAUAAACAUAAUAUAUUUAAAUAUUAUAAAUAUACACAUGUAUAUAAAGUUUAUUAUAAACAAAUCAAAAUACUAACUGCCCAUUAACAUUUAUUAAAUUGAGUGCUUAUUUUUUGGAAUUAUUCUUCACUGCCUUUUGCCUAUUAACGAUGUUACAGUUCUUAUUUUAAUAAUAUGAAUUAUUAAAGUCUAUUUAAAAAAUGAAGGCAUAGUCAACCCAUAAGUAACAUUUAGUAGACUAUGGAUGGCAGUUCUUUUUGUUUGUUUGUUUUUCAGACAGGGACUCACUCUGUCACCUGGGCUGGAGUACAGUGGUAUGAUCACAGCUCACUGCAGGCUCGACUUCCUGGGCUCAGGCAAUCCUCCUGCCCCAGGCUCCCAAGCAGCUGGGACCACAGGCACAUGCCAUCCUGCCCAGCUAAAUUUUCUAUUUUUGUUAUUUGAAAAAAGUAAAAAUGCUGUAUGUGCUGGGCCAGCGGAAGCCCUUCUUGGUGUUGAUAGUACACAAACAAAUUUAUUCUGUGCAAUUAGUGUAGAAUUCUCUAGCAAUGAAUUAGAAUUUUCCCUUCCAAAGGUGACCUCCCUUUCUAAUUUAUGUAUAGGCAAAAGCUACCUCCAGCAUAGAAAACAAUAUAAAAAUAACUUCAUGUAUUUAUAAGUAACUACAGUUAUAAACCAGUACAUACCACUUUUGAGAAAAUAGUAUAAAAUUCAAGUGUAGGUGGUAGUUUGAUUAUGGAGAUCUGUCAUCUGCUUUCAGAUACAUUUCAAGAAGUGCACUGAGCUAAUU
rnacentral:lncRNA from 1 species